AGUGAACGCUGGCGGCAGGCCUAACACAUGCAAGUCGAGCGGCAGCGCGGUGUAGCAAUACACUGGCGGCGGGCGGCGGACGGGUGAGGAAUACAUCGGAAUUUACCCAAUCGUGGGGGAUAACGUAGGGAAACUUACGCUAAUACCGCAUGAACUGGAGACAGCAAAGCGGCGGACCUUCGGGCGUCGCGCGGUUGGAUGAGCCGAUGUCGGAUUAGCUAGUUGGCGGGGUAAAGGCCCACCAAGGCGACGAUCCGUAGCUGGUCUGAGAGGAUGAUCAGCCACACUGGAACUGAGACACGGUCCAGACUCCUACGGGAGGCAGCAGUGGGGAAUAUUGGACAAUGGGCGCAAGCCUGAUCCAGCCAUGCCGCGUGUGUGAAGAA
rnacentral:rRNA from 1 species